GGCCCUUUAGCUCAGUUGGUUAGAGCAGUCGACUCAUAAUCGAUUUGUCGCUGGUUCAAGUCCAGCUAGGGACACCA
rnacentral:tRNA from 2 species